GCCCUUCUCUCCUGGGCAGCCCGGAUGGAUCUGCAGCCAGAAUGAGGAGCUAGAACCCGUUGAAGAGAUCCAGCAGGACCAAAGCCAGAGGAUCGGUGAACAACACCCGUUCAUAAAACCGGAAAAGCCCGAAUACUCUGUCGAUGUUUACAGGCAAUCCGUAGCUUUGCCAUCAAAAGCCACCUAUGACGAGGGCUCACACAUGUGCGCUGAUCACACCAACACAAAUCCUAUUGAGGAUGAAAUGACAAACUGUCAUUUCUCAUCUAAAAUCAAAGUUGAAUUCAUGAACUCCAGCUUGUGUUCAGGCGAUGCAGUGGGAAGCACUGAAGAUGCAUAUCAGAGCUGGUCGCCACACAGCCCAGAUUUGCCUUUAGGGACAUCGGAUAUCUACAGAGCACAGCACCCAAACCAGCCAACAUACGCUGACAGCGAAGCUCCUGCCACAGUAUCUCAGCAUAACAGCUCAUCUCAUGAUGCCAAUCACGUUUCAUAUCACAACAUAUUAUGUACAAACAGGGCUUACUGUAGCAGUAAAUGCUGUGAAAUGCAAAAGAGGACAAUAGCAAAAUCAAGCCCUGUGUGGAAGUAUUUCUCUCUAAAAGAGGGAGACUGUAGCAAAGCAGUGUGCCUUAUGUGUAGGGCCGUCAUAUCUCGUGGUCGCAAAGAAUACACAACGUCGGCUCUUCUAAAGCACCUUCGGAUGAAACAUGGAAAUGCGCUAAUCUUUGGCAGUGCUAAGAAGAGACGAAUGAAAGAGAUUACGAGAAAGACUGUGUGAAAACCACUAAACCACUUUCGGUCAGUGUGGACACUGGCUUUUGUGCAUCAUGGCCAACCUUUGAGUGUUUUCAAACGAAUUGAAAAAUCUACAUCAUACAGAGUGGGUUGAGAUAGGGCAGUCAGAAAUUUAUGCACACAAUAAUCAUCCAAGCUUUUUGAUUAUGGUUACAGACGAAUGGGGGGAAGUUGUGGCCUAAUGGUUAGAGAGUCGGACUCGUAACCCAAAGGUUGUAGGUUCGCGUCUCGUACCGGCAGGGAUUGUCGGUGGGGGGAGGGAAUGUACAGCGCUCUCUCCCACCUUCAAUACCACGACUGAGGUGCCCUUGAGCAAGUGUUCACUGCUGUGUGUGUGCACUUUGGAUGGGAUAAAUGCAGAGCACUAAUUCCGAAAUGGGUCACCAUACUUGGCCACAUGUCACUUUUAUAGAAUCGUACUGUUUGGAAAAAACGUCACAAUCUUUAGCUUGUAAGUAACUUCAUCAUCGUAUUGUCUAAAAAAAUAACAGGAUGUACAUACUAGCUAGGGCAUGAAUAAUAUCAAAGAAAACUGUAAUACAAAAGAGAUUUAAUCAUUUUACAGACAUUUACAGAAUAUUUUACCACCCCUGAAAUGUAAAAUGUUUUGAACUUGAUUUGUCUUUUAUACUCAUUUUUGCAAUAAAUGAAUCCUGG
rnacentral:lncRNA from 1 species